UUCUUUUUUCUUAAUGUUAAUAAAAAAAAGAAGAAAAUUCUUCUUUUUUAUUUUGAAAAAUAGAUAUGGGCCGAGAGGCAAUCAGAUAGAUUUUCUCUUUAGCGGGUAUUUCCAUAUAGGACUUGUUAUAAUAAAAAAAGCAGGUUGCAGGUUAUAGAAAAAAGAAAAAACGCUUUUUUUCGAUUUUUUAUCAAGAAAGCAAAAAGGGUUCUUAUCAAACCCACAAUAAAAUAGGAAACAAGGAUAAAGAA
rnacentral:lncRNA from 1 species